UUGUUUAACUAUUAUGAACCCGUCAUCAUUAUUGAAUAGUUUCAUAAAUUAUGAAAGUUACCAUGCUAGAACUAGUAACAAGAAAAUGAAUUUCUCCAUAUUGUAAGCUUACACCAAAAUGGACUCCCCAUUGGUACUUAACGUUAAUGAUCCUAAUAUUUCAACAACUCAAGAAAACUAAAUAGCUUAAAUCGUUAACCUUACACUAGAACACUCCUGGAAAGAUUAAAAGGAAGAGAAGGAACUCGGCAAUAUCUAGUCCCGCCUGUUUACCAAAAACAUCGCCUCUUGCACCCACCCAUAAGAGGUCCCGCCUGCCCAGUGAUUAAUUUAACGGCCGCGUGAUUUUAAACGCGCAAAGGUAGCGAAAUCAUUUGUUCUUUAAAUGAGGACCAGUAUCAACGGCAUCACGAGGACUCAACUGUCUCCUCUCCCAAAUCAGUGAAACUAAUCUCCCUGUGAAAAAGCAGGAAUAACAAUAUAAGACGAGAAGACCCCAUGGAGCUUUAAACUUUAAGCAACUUUUAAUACUACAUUCCUUAAAAUAUUCUAGCUAUGCCCAAUAGUUUUAGGUUGGGGCGACCGCGGAGUAAAACUUAGCCUCCAUGACAAAAGGACAUUUCCUAAUCCAAGAAAGACAUUUCUAAGAAUCACUAACCUGAUGUUUCAUGACCCGACUAUCGAUCAACGAACCAAGUUACCCUGGGGAUAACAGCGCAAUCCAUUUUGAAAGCUCCUAUCGACAAAUGGGUUUACGACCUCGAUGUUGGAUCAGGAUACCCAGGUGGUGCAGCCGCUACU
rnacentral:rRNA from 1 species